CCUACGGGGUGCAGCAGUCGAGAAUCAUUCACAAUGGGGGCAACCCUGAUGGUGCGACGCCGCGUGGGGGAAUGAAGGUCUUCGGAUUGUAAACCCCUGUCAUGUGGGAGCAAAUUAAAAAGAUAGUACCACAAGAGGAAGAGACGGCUAACUGUGGGCCAGUAGCCGCGGUAAUGCAGAGGGGUCAAGGGUUAUUAGGAAUCACUUGGCGUAAAGCGUGGGGAGGCUGUUUUGUAAGUCGUGUGUGAAAGGUGCGGGCUAAACCCGCGGACGGAACAUGAUACUGGGAGACUAGAGUAAUGGAGGGGGAACCGGAAUGCUCGGUGUAGCAGUGAAAUGCGUAGAUAUCGAGAGGAACCCUCGUGGCGAAGGCGGGUUCCUGGACAUUAACUGACGCUGAGGCACGAAGGCCAGGGGAGCGAAAGGGAUUAGAUACCCUGGUAGUC
rnacentral:rRNA from 1 species